ensembl:lncRNA
AGCGCAGGGAAGGGCAGAGGUUGGAGGAGCCAGUCCAACCAGUCAGAGCCCAGUUGUGCCUCCCAGUUGUGCUCACUCAGCACCUGGGGCUGUUCCCAGCCACACAAACCCGGCGUGAGCAGAGCUCAGCACUGCCCAGGGCCUGCACACUGCCAGGGGCUCACACACCAUCAGCCUCGGGGUCACAGCGAUCCACAGGCCAUGGAAAUGUCCUGCAGGCCCCAGGCUGAGCUUCCUGCAGCAGCGCAGAGGGCUGGGCUGGGUGCGGGUGCUGGAUCACCCCAGUCACAGAAUCGGCGCCCAAACCCCGCAGAUCAGCAGCAGCAGGGCCACAGAGCAGCCCCCACAGGGCCCUGGAUCGCAGCUGUGCCCUGCAGGGACCCAGAGCCUCCUUCCCCCGGGCAGGGCAGGGCACCCAUCUCCCUCGGGUUUAUUGCAGCUCCCUGCGGUCGCACUAAGCAGCUUUGGGGCACCGAGAUCCAGCGACAGCACAACACGUGGACAGCGCGGCCAGGAAACCCUUGUGGAAGCCUUGGGAACGUAAAUACUCGGUCUAAUCCUCGCAGGGGAUGAGGAGCCGGGGCUGCUGCAGCCGCCAGGGCUCAGCAGAAGCUGCCGGGGCGGGCGGAAGGAAGGAGGGGAGGGAGCUGAGCUGAGCCUCGGCUCAGGUGCAGGCGUGGAGAGCGCCUGACCGCAGAGCCGAGCGCUUCCUCCCCCUCACACCCAGCCCAGAGCGCGGCGGGGCUCGGCCCGGAGCGCCCCUGGCACGCGGGGCUGUGGUGGGCACCGGGCACCGGGCACCGGCAGCGGCCGGAGCCGCCCGAUCCCGGCCAGCAGCACUCACAGCUCUGGGACUGCGCAGCCUGUCCCCAGCAAAGCUGCCCAACCCAAGCCGGAGGAGCUGGGCUGGGCUGGGCUGGGCGCUGGGGGCUGCAAUCCCCUUUGCUGGGCUCAGCACAGCCCCUGCCCACAGGUACAAGUGGCCCUGGGUACCUGCAGGCUCAGCAGGAGGAGCAGCCAAGGAGCACCUGAGGAGUUUCUGCUGGGGACACACACAUACACACAGACCCAGCUCUGAUGCAGAAAAUCCCAUAAUCACCCUCAGCUGCCAAGGAACAGCAUCAGCUCAGGCGCACGGCACUGACCUCAGCAAGGGCUGUGUCAUAAUCCGUUUUUCAGACUGGCCACAACUUCCAGUGCGAGGCAGAGCUGACAAAGGCAGAAGGGCAAAUCCUGGAGCCCAGCUGGCCGAGGCUGAGGGCGGCCAGGUAGGGAUGAAUGGGGCCAGUGCCCUCCCCCCUGCUCCAAGGACGUGGCAAAGUCGGUGCCUGGCCCCGGGUGAGAGUGGCCUUGAAGGGAACGCUGCAACUAUUCAUGAAUUAACUUUCUGUUAUUAUUUGGUGCUCGGGGAGCUCCUGGCUCUGCAGACCCAGCAGGAACCCCCGGCCUUGCUGGGGCAGAGGGGAGGAGGUGAGCACCCAAACUGCAGCCGUGGAGCUGGGGGAUUACAGCUGGGAAAGAAUUGCUGGUUUGAAUUGCUAAUAAUGAUACAGACUAAUGAGCAACAUCAGAAAUGAUGGCAUGUGCAAUCAGUGCUGCUUGAUGGCAAACACAGAGCGGGGCUGCAGGAGCUGCUGGGGCGAGGGAACAGGAGCAUCCUUCAGAGGGGCAGCACCCACCCCAGGCAGGGCACUGCCAUGGAGCUGGCUCUGGCUACAGGGGAAAGACUUUAUAAAUAAUGAUGGAAAGAGUAACCAGAGACAGACGUCAGCUCUGGGUACACGGAGGGAACACGGCCAGCAAGUGUUGGAGGGGAAAUCACCUUGGUGGGUUCCCAGCAGCCGUGGGAAGCCCAUCUGCCCCUGGCUGUUGGAGGUUUUGUGUCACAGCUGCCCCCCAGCAGCCCCACCGGGGAUCAGGGACACGGGGGAUGGAGCCCCCAGCCAAAUCCUCCUCUGAGAGCCCAGCACCGACUGCUGAUGCUCGGCAGAGAAAGAGCAGCCCGAGUUCUUGGCCAGGUGUGCGGUGAAGGGCAGGGAUGUGUCUGUGCCCCGUCCCUGCCUGAUCCUCCAGCAAGGAACUGCCCGGGGCCGCCCCACUGCUCUGGCGGCUCCAAAGGCAGCGCUUGGCUCCUGCUCCUUUCGCUGGAAUCCCUUUUCCUUGCCUCAUCCCUGCGAUAUGCCCCAGCCAGUCAGCACGAGGCAACAGUUGGAAAUGCUUCCCACUUUCCUUAUUUAGGCUGUUUUAUGUGGUUCAAAUAAGGUGUCCUCUUUGGGCCUGACAAAGAGAAAGAUGUAUCAGUUCAUGAACUGCUGCUGCCUGAGCAAGGUAAGAGACAGAAAAUCACCACCAUUACCAUCAUUAUUGUGAAUCAUGUGCAAUCAGCCCCGUAACAGAAAGCAGAUGAAGAUCCUACAGGAACCUGAAAGACGGGAGCUGCUGCUGAGCCACGGGAGCCAGGGGCCAGGCAGUGAUUAAAAUGCUUUUAAUAUUGGUUUUCAGUGUUGUUUCACUUUAUAUAUAUAUAUAUAUAUAUAUAUAUAUAUAUUUAUUUAUUUAUUUAUUUAUUUAUACACA